rnacentral:lncRNA from 1 species
AAGACAAGUCUGUCCUCAGGGAAAUCUGGGAACAGCUGGUGCUGAAGUUAGCUAAUUACCAGCCAAGCUGAACUGCAGAGGUGCUUCAUGUCUCCAGCAUUACACGGCGUACGGAUGAUGAGGCUUAAUAUAGAAUGACUGGAGAAUUUAAGCAGAAAGGUUUACAAAAAAUUCCUUCAUGCUUCUCUGCAGCUUCUCAUCCCCAAGGAGCACAGUAUGGGGGAUUAAAGAAAAAUACAAGAUAUGGAAGAGGAAGGAGCAGGCAGACCGUCGGUCACAAUGUUGUGCAUGUCUACAGAGAGCAAAAGGAACAAUCAGCAGCAACACCAAACAUUUGGAAAGAAGGUAAUUACAAAGGUGGUGGCUCUGGAGAAAAUAUGUGGUAGCUAUCACAUGAGCCAGACUAAAUUAUGAGAGGAAAUCGAGCUCCAAUAACUUAAAUCUGCUUUUUGGCAGGGGAGAGGCAGAAGCAAGAGACUAGACUGUUCCACUUCAAAGCAAUUUGUGACCUACUGACACAAAACAUUUAUUUUGAUGUUAUGAAGAAAUUGUCAUUUGAAGAAACAUGAAGAGGUAAAACUUUUCAUGGUUGGGAACUAUGUUGCAGCUAGAGCACAGAAAGUUAUUUUAAAAGAGCCAGUUAUAGUUACAUUUUCAAGGGUUUCAAAGUAGUUGCUGU